rnacentral:lncRNA from 1 species
AUGGCUCAGCAACAGCGUUCCAGAUGGCGCUAUUCAGCUCGACCAGCUGACGUGCUAUCGAGCGGACAGAGCUCUCGUCGCGGGCUUUGUGUUUACAUCAAUGACACGUGGUGCCGCGAUACUGUUGUGAUCAGCAAACACUGCUCAACCCUGGUGGAGUUUAUGAUUAUUAAGUGCCGGCCGUUCUAUCUGCCGAGGGAAUAUACUGCUAUACUGCUCAUUUCAGUGUACAUUCCCCCAUUCAACAUCACCAGCAACAGGAACGACGCACUUAAUGAACUGUACCAACACAUCAGUGAGCAGCAGACAGCACACCUGGAUGCUUUUCUCAUCAUAGCUGGGGAUUUCAACCAUGCUGACCUUAAGAGUGUGUUUCCAAAAAUACACCAGCACAUCAACUUUCCAACACGAGGUAAUAACAUUUUGGACUUUGUUUACACCACACAGAGAGGAGCUUACAAAGUCCUCCCCCUCCCCCACCUCGGAGCCUCAGAUCACAUCACUGUUAUGCUAAUGCCUGCAUACAGACCACUCAUUAAAGUCGCCAAACCAGUUUACAAACAGAUUAAAGUGUGGCCAGAAGGAUCAUCAGAGAUUCUUCAGGACUGCUUCAACACAACUGACUGGGACAUGUUUAAACAGGCUGCCACAUGCAAUAACACCACUGACCUCCAGGAGUACUCAGAGACUGUUACUGCCUACAUCAAUAAGUGUAUUGAUGAUGUAACGAUCACAAAAACUAUCACUGUCCGGGCCAACCAGAAGCCAUGGAUGACGGGGGAGGUCUACAGAAUCCUGAAGACACGGAAUGCUGCCUUCAGAGCUGGAGAUGAGGUGGGCCUGAGAUUAGCUAGGGCCAACCUGUCCCGCGGCAUCAGAGAGGCUAAGAGACAGCAUUUCAGGAGGAUAGCUCACCAAUUCAGCAACAGCAGAGACACUAGGAGUCUGUGCAGGGGAUACAGACCAUUACGGACUACAAGCCCCCACAACGGACCUGUGACAACAACAUCUCUCUGCUGA